CAGCCCUAAACGAUGCGCGUUAGGUGUAUCGGUGACCACGAGUCACCGAGGUGCCGAAGGGAAACCGUGAAACGUGCCGCCUGGGAAGUACGGUCGCAAGGCUGAAACUUAAAGGAAUUGGCGGGGGAGUACCACAACGGGUGGAGCCUGCGGUUUAAUUGGACUCAACGCCGGGAAGCUCACCGGAUAAGACAGCGGAAUGAUUGCCGGGCUGAAGACCCUGCAUGACCAGCUGAGAGGUGGUGCAUGGCGUGUGACUGU
rnacentral:rRNA from 1 species